UACAUGGGGUGCAAACGUUGCUCGGAAUUAUUGGGCGUAAAGCGCACGUAGGCGGUUUGUUAAGUCGGAUGUGAAAUCCCUCGGCUCAACUGAGGAAGUGCAUCCGAAACUGGCAAGCUUGAGUACGAAAGAGGGUCGCGGAAUUCCUGGUGUAGCGGUGAAAUUCGUAGAUAUUAGGAAGAACACCGGUGGCGAAGGCGGCCAUCUGGCUCGGUACUGACGCUCAGGCGCGAAAGCGUGGGGAGCAAACAGG
rnacentral:rRNA from 1 species